CUUUAGCGGUGUGGGAUGAGCCCGCGGCCUAUCAGCUUGUUGGUGGGGUGACGGCCUACCAAGGCGACGACGGGUAGUCGGCCUGAGAGGGUGUCCGGCCACACUGGGACUGAGAUACGGCCCAGACUCCUACGGGAGGCAGCGGUGGGGAAUAUUGCACAAUGGGCGCAAGCCUGAUGCAGCGACGCCGCGUGGGGGAUGACGGCCUUCGGGUUGUAAACCUCUUUCACCAUCGACGAAGGUCC
rnacentral:rRNA from 1 species